AGGGUAAGCAGAUCCUGCUCCACGUGUGGCGCCCAUCGUGUUGCUCAUUAUGUACAAAGCGGUAAAUAGUCUAAUUCGUUAGGUCACAUUCGUGAAAAAGGAAUGGACUGUAGUUACGACAUAAUGAAGAUAUCCGAUAUCAUCUGUAUAACGGAUAUUCCAUAUUGGUCAACCAACUCAUGAUGGCUUCCGUAAAAUUUAAGAAGUGGUGA
rnacentral:lncRNA from 1 species